CACGUAGGCACCAAGCGUUGUCCGGAUUUAUUGGGCGUGAAGAGCUCGUAGGCGGUUCGGUAAGUCGGGUGUGAAAACUUUGGGCUCAACCCAAAGCCUGCACUCGAUACUGCUGUGACUUGAGUCCGGUAGGGGAGUGGGGAAUUCCUGGUGUAGCGGUGGAAUGCGCAGAUAUCAGGAGGAACACCGGUGGCGAAGGCGCCACUCUGGGCCGGUACUGACGCUGAGGAGCGAAAGCGUGGGGAGCGAACAGG
rnacentral:rRNA from 1 species